rnacentral:rRNA from 1 species
UGGGGAAUUUUGGACAAUGGGCGAAAGCCUGAUCCAGCAAUGCCGCGUGUGUGAAGAAGGCCUUCGGGUUGUAAAGCACUUUUGUCCGGAAAGAAAUCCUUGGCUCUAAUACAGUCGGGGGAUGACGGUACCGGAAGAAUAAGCACCGGCUAACUACGUGCCAGCAGCCGCGGUAAUACGUAGGGUGCAAGCGUUAAUCGGAAUUACUGGGCGUAAAGCGUGCGCAGGCGGUUUGCUAAGACCGAUGUGAAAUCCCCGGGCUCAACCUGGGAACUGCAUUGGUGACUGGCAGGCUAGAGUAUGGCAGAGGGGGGUAGAAUUCCACGUGUAGCAGUGAAAUGCGUAGAGAUGUGGAGGAAUACCGAUGGCGAAGGCAGCCCCCUGGGCCAAAUACUGACGCUCAUGCACGAAAGCGUGGGGAGCAAACAGGAUUAGAUACCCUGGUAGUCCACGCCCUAAACGAUGUCAACUAGUUGUUGGGGGUUCAUUCCUUAGUAACGUAGCUAACGCGUGAAGUUGACCGCCUGGGGAGUACGGUCGCAAGAUUAAAACUCAAAUGAAUUGACGGGGUCAUAGCUGUUUCCU